AAAAAUGAUCAAUGGCUCACAAGCAUCCCCCCCAUUUUCAUAUAUCCCCGUCUCCCAAACCCUAACCCCAUUUCUCCUAAUCCACCCCUUCUCUACUUUCUCCCCUCUGAAUAUCCCAAGCCUGCCGCCUCACCAAACCCAUAUCUUAAUCUCAUUCCUAAUGUGAUUCUCUAUUACUUACCAUUUCAACGUAUUUCUUUUAUUUUGUGAUUCUUCACAGAAUUACCGAGUACUUGCCUAAACAUGGCAAGUAUCCCUACUUUGAGUUUGUCCUAAUCGAUCUUGUCUCUUGAAUCUGGAUGAUGUUAAGUCCACACAUGUUUAUUUGCACCGAGUGAGUCUGGUUUUAUGCAGAUCUUGCUGAUUCGUACUUAACCAUAAGGUUAGGGUUUACAUAUCCUCUUUGAUUUGAACCAAAAUUGUUUCAAGCUUUAAUUUUAAGUGUUAUCUCGUCUUUAUUCACCCUAUUAUGUGCGCACCUAUCUAUAUCUAUCAAUUAUUAUUACUUACCCUAAAUUAGGGUUUCAGACCAUUUUUGAUGAACCAAAUAUGGUUCGAUUCCAUGAUGUUGUGAAUAAUAUUCAUGUUUAUGUUCAUUUUAUGUAAUAUGUAAUCCUUUUGUCUUAUUUUCUGCCGAUUUUGCAUAGUUUACCAAAAAAGUAGGGUUUCAAUCUUUUCUUCCUUAGUGAUUUAAAUACUUACCCUUCUAGUGUUUGAAUUAAUUAUUUUUCAUGUUUAUGUGUUCAGUUCCUACACUAUUUAAACCUCUCCCCACUCGCCUUUGAGACAGUUCGAAAAAUUCUUUAAGUACACUAUAAACUAAAGUUGAAUGCUUUUCAUUCUGGAAUAAAUUUGUUCUAUAAUCUGAUUCAUGGCCGGCUGAAAGCCAAGGCCAAAAAUUGCUAAGUUCUUGCUUUGUUUGCUGAUACUCACAAUAUCGUUAGAUUUUCUUCUUCUUUGCUUCAUCUUAACUGGUGAGUUAUCAUACCUCUUCCAUUCUGUUCUGAUUAUUUGUUUAAUAUGUUACUUCAACUAGACUAUGUUAUCCUAAAUGAUAUUACAUUUGUACUGUAAGACAUGCUUAAAUCUACUUUUUGUUUGAUUAGUUUGAUUCUGCUAACCAUUUGUCAUUGAUAGUUAUCUCUUGAAGUUCAAUUAUGUUACUAUCCUGCUUUUUGAAUAUGUCGUCAUAUCUCCUUAUAUGGAAUAGUUAAUUACGCAUAGAUGUAUUCAUCAAUAGGAUUACAAGCCUGUUUUCUAAAAUUACUAUAAUGUGGCCUAUUUGAUUGUGUUUUAUCAUACAUUGACUGCCCUAAUUAUUUCCUAACAUAUCAUGAUCUAUUUAUUAUUGACAUGAUUUCUUCCUAUGACACUAGUUUAUGCACUUAGCCUAAUCUUCUUAUCUCUAUAAAUCUGUCAUAUGACUUGUCUUGUUAGCAUGUGAUUAAGUUUAUUUAUUGAAACUUGACUAACCCUUUCGAAAUUCAAGCAUGUCUACUAUUUGUUUGUAUAUGUUCAAUAUGGGUUCUGUCCUUCAGUGAGAAUCCUUGACUUCAUUAUAUUCCUAUACUAUCUAGUUCUUCUGAAUUCUUAUACUUAGCCGGCUGAAAGCCAAGGCUAUUUAGGUUCUAUCCUUUGGCCUCCCUAGUGUGAGCACUGGUCAGGGCUCAUAUGAGACUCUGACACACUAAGAACCGGUCCCUAGUCUUUCCCCUGAAUUAUUUCUGAUCAACUUCCGUAGUGUGAGCACUACCUUGGGUUCUUCAAGCCCUUGGGAACUCUGGCACACUAGGGUCUUGGGUUCUGUAUGCUCAGCCUUGAUAUAUGUUCACUGGGUGAAUCACUUAACAACUAGUUAUUAUAUAUCUAUGAACAUGAAUUGCGGAGAUGUUGUGAAUUGAAGGCAUGGCAUGUCCAUGUGUAUUUGGGCCUGCUGUAGGCUCCCAAUAGCUAUAUAUAUUCCAUAAUUAAUGACAUUCAAUUCUCGGUCUGUAAUAAUUAUUAUAAUAAAAACUCCGGGGUGUUAGUAAAAUUAGGAAUGUGUUUUUAAUCUUACAAUUGCAAUAAGUUGGGUAGAAAUGCUACUAAGAGGUCCGCUAAUAUGGUGUUGAAUAUUGUGUUAUAGAAAUCACGCCUAUAGGUUAAACACUUGACUCGGUUAUGUUCUUUUUUGCUUAUUAGAGACCAUGCCAAUAGGAAAUGGUAUGAUUCAAUGUGUGUGCAAAAAUCCUGGUACAUACUAUUUUGCUCACAAAUUAUAGAAAUUAUAUCUAUAGGAUCUAAACUGGAUCGAAUUUAAGAAAGCAUGCCUAUAGGUUUGAAUCGAUUUAAUUAUCAUUUUUGCUCGUUGAUUCAGGAAAUUAUCUUUAUACUAUGAUGUUACCAUCAUUAGAAAACAUGCCUAUAGGAUUAAAACAAGAAAUUCUGGAUAUAUUUUUGUGAUUUCCACUACUUAUUAUCGCGUGAAACACCUAGACAUCAUGCUAGUAGGUUUAAUCUCAUGAUAAAAAUCAGUAGGCAAACUUAUGCAGGUCAUGGUAAUUGUAUUAAGAAAUUAGCUUUAGCGCUUAACUCUCUACUCAUUCGUUCAAUAACACAUAGAGGUCCUGCCAAUAGGGUUCUGCAUUUUAAUUAAUUAAUUAAAAUCUAGUUAUGUUAAUCAGUUUGGCAUGCAUUUGCUGUCUGAAUGCGGAGGCUAACUUUAGCCCAUAUUUGCUUAUAUUUGAAAGUCCUAAACUAUUUUUUAUGUUGCUUAGUGUUUUCCCUUUUGAGCGGCCAAGAUUAAGGUCUAGACCCACCCUGAAAUAGAGGUCCAAAUGCCUCAUGGACCAUAGGUAUGGGACAGGUAGUGCGCGCAUAGGGUGCGACUUAGAAUUUACUAGAGCACUUUAGGUAAACAACUUAAAGAUAGUAAUCGGGUAGCAGGAGAUCAUAGUCUCCUCAAUGUACUUUGAGCCCUUACCCAAUCGUUGGUGAUGAAAACUAUUAAACCCGAGUCAUUUGCAAAUAGAUGCCCUAACACACCUUAAAAAUCGUUAGGUCACAACUCUCUCUUUUAAUACCCUUCAUUUGAAAGAGUUGUCACGUGUCCAAAGUCGAUUUUGCAAGAAAAAGUGGCGCGACAACAUGGCCGACUCUGCUGGGGAUACCAUUAGGCUCUUACCAUAACGAACUUGUUCUAUGUGAAUUAGUCUCUAUAAAUAAGCGUGUCUUUAUUAUUUUUCUUGAACAUCCCGCUCCUACUCUCCCUUUUAUUGCUACAUGCAUACCCCCUUCCCGAUUUUUCAUUUAUGUAAACUUACAUGCAAUUUUUUGCUUAAUAUGGUUACAAUAUGUAUCCCCUCCUUUAUUUCCCAAUCAUGUUCACUAGCUUCAAUCAUUAAAAUUUUAUUAUGUCUUUCACAAUUCCUACCCCUUUUAUCGCUUUAUUAUUCUUUUUCCAUUAUACUAACUAACUCUUUACUUGUUUUUCUUUCUUCUCUGUCAUUACAUUUAUUAAAUAUUGCAUCGCUUUACCUUGUAAAAUAAUUGACAACAUGUUGCUUUAUAUUUGCAUAAUUACAUGCUCUACAUAAUAAAGAAAAAGCUAAAGAAGUAUUGGGGAGAGGUAACCAUGUAAUAUAUAGCGAUGCUUUAGCUGACCAAGGAUAUGACCCUUGAUAGGAAAACAUGAAGGUCGAGAAUUAGGAUGGAUUGCUAGGUAAUCGGGUGUUUUUCUUAAUACAUGCGAGUAGUAGCAAUGUUAUGUAUUUUCUUAUUUGUAAAUUCUUAUUAAUAUUUUUUAUUUUUUUCACUUCGAUUUCAUGUUGGAUUGUUGGUGUUACUUCUUGUUGUUGCUGCUUCUUUUAUCAUCUUUCCUUGAGUCGAGGGUCUAUCAGAAAUAGGCUAUUUACCUUCCCAAGGCAGGGAUGUCACGACCCUAAAACAGAUCCCGUCAUGAUGGCGCCUAUCGUGAAACUAGGCUAGUCGACACAAACCCCCAAAUCAACUAAAAAGUUAUAAUAAUUCACUUAAAUUCAUUAAUAAGCUUAAUAUCCCAAAAUAUAGAGUAGAAAAUAAUAAUAUGGAUAUAAAUACAACCCGACAUCGGGUGUCACCAGUCAUAAGAAUCUACAACAUGUGUAGGAAUAACAAAAGACAACAUAGUCUAAUACAAAACUAGUACAAAGUGAAAUAAAGAUAAGAAGGAGAAGCACUAGGCUGCGAACGUCGAGCAGCUACCUAUUUAACUGCGAACAAGCCUGAUGAAAUGAAAAUUAGCACUCGCUAACAUGACCUGACACUCCUGAAUCUGCACACAGGGUGCAGAGAGUAAUGUGAGUAGACCGACUUAGUAAGGAAUAAAAGUAAAGGCAGGUGAACGACAAGAAAACACGUAAAACAUAGCAUAAUGCUACAAUAAAACAGUAUAAAUCCAAACCAAUGAAGUACUACAGUAAAAGCUCAUAAAAACACAUCAAUUCAGUAAAAACCUCUUUCAAACAUCUUCCCGUAGUUCAAACGAACGAUGAAAAUAGUGAGAAAAAUGAUAAAAACAUAAAUCAGCCCCUUGGGCAAAAUACCAACAAAACCAACCCCUCAAGCUACCUCACAAUACCUCGUAUCAGCUCCUCGGAUAAUAACAUGAAACAAAAAUAGCCCCUCGGGCAAUAUCACAUCUAACACUGGGCACCCGUGCUCACUGGGGAUGUGCAGACUCCGGAGGGCCUCCUACAGCCCAAGCGCUAUAUCAAGCCAUCUCUUGGCAUAAUCAAAUAAGGCCCUAUGCCUCAUAAUCAUGAAUUAGUACAACAAUGUUGCGACGCGCAGCUCGAUCCCGUAAUAUCCUCACAAUACAGGACCUCAUCCUCACUCAGUUAAAAAUCUCUCAAGCCCCUGGGCAACAGUAAAACAUGAUGCUCAGCCCAAAAUAUCAUUUAAAAUGUCAAAAUGGAAUAAAUAUGGCUGAGUUAUAAAAACAGUAGAAUACAUCAUGACUAAGUACGAAUGUGAAGUCAAAACAGUAUGGAAUAGUAGUAAAUAUCCCUUAAGGGUCUAAAAUAGAUGGCACGAGGCCCAAAUAUGGCAUUCAACCCAAAACAUGAUGAUACUUUCCAAAACACAAUGUUAGCAAAACAGUUUUCAAUAAAUGCGGUUUAACUGUCAUACGAGACGGACUAAGUCACAAUUCCUAACGAUGUACGGCCCCACACUCGUCAUCUAACGUUUGUGUCACCUCAAAGUAGCACAACAAUGUGAAAUCAGGGUUUCACACCCUCAGGACAACAUUUACGUCACUACUAACCUCUAUCUGGUCCAAACUCUAUUCCGCGAUGCCUUUUCCCCUCGAAUCGGCUCUGGAUGCUCCAAAUCUAUCCAAAAAUAGAUUUAUAUCAUCAAUAUUCUAAGGGAACAAAGCCCACUUGAACAUAACCAAUUUACAUCAUAAAUCCUGAAAUUGGUCAAACCCGGCCCUUAGACCCACAUCUCGAAUUCUAACAAAAAUCCAAAACUAGAAUCCUCGCACUCUCACGAUUUCAUAAUAUCAAAUGCAUAAAUAUCCGACCAUAAAUAUCCCCUCAAAUCGAAAUCUCAAGUUCCAAUCCCUAACUCCCCAGUUUUAGGCUUUAGAUUCUAUAAAUUUCAUGUUUAAUUAGGUAGAAAUCACCACAGGAUCGAGUACUAAGUCCAUAGAUCUUACCUCGAAGUUCUUUCCUUUGAUUCCCUCUUCAAUCCCUCUGAAAAAGGUCAAAAAUAUCUCAACAAUGGAGAAUCUUAGACCGAAAAUCAAGGAAGUGGUCUUUCCAACAUUCUGUCCAGCAUUUGAAAUCCCUUCUUUGUGAACGCGAUCAACGUCUCAUAUUCACGAAGAAGAAAAUUACGUUGACCAAUUAAUCUAUCAUCGUGAACACGACACCCUCUAAUAGAAUGAGAAGCUUCACCUCCUCAACCAAUCGCAAACACAACACCUACCUCGCGAUCGUGAAGCACAAUUGGACGUGGAUCCAGAUGUUCAGCUCCACUCUAUGGGAACGCGGCAAAACCAUCACCAACGCGAUGAACACUGACCCCAACCCUUCGCGGAUGCGGGAACCCCAUUGCGAAGACGAAGUCCAACCCUCCUGCCUCACAUCCUAACCCUUCAUAAACGCGAGAGCCCACUCAUGAAUGCGAAGGCCAAACGUCUGCAGCACUAACAGCAGAUUUUUCUGCAACUUUUCCAACUUGAACUUGAUCCGAUCAACCACCUGAAACUCACCCGAAGCAUUCGGGACCUCAACCAAAUAAGAGAACAUAUCCUAUGACCUUAUUCAAACUUGUUCCAACCCCGAAAAGCUCAAAACAACAUCAAGACACCAAAUUGACAUCGGAUUAAAGCCUAAGAAUUCCAAAACUUCCAAAUUCCGCUUUCGAUCAAAACGUCUAUCAAACCUCGUCUGAAUGACCAAAAAGUUUUCACAUACGUCAAAAAAUGACACAAUGAACCUACUCCAACUUUCAAAAUUUCAUUCUAAACACCAUAUCAAAAUCUCACAUAUCAACCGGAAAACGUCAAAAUUCCAAUUUUGCCAAUUCAAACCUAAAUCUACUCCAGACCUCCAAAACAUAUUCUGAUCACGCUCCUAAGUCCCAAAUCACCUCCCAAAGCUAUCCGAACCAUCGAAAUUAACAUUCGAUCCCUUUUCACAUUAGUCAACAUCCAAUUGAAUUUUGCAACAUUAGCUUACUCAAAAGCGACUAAGUGUCUCAUUCCUUUCCAAUACCUGUCUGAACCCUAACCAACCAACCUGAUAAUACAUAAUACAGCUGAACUAGAAAAUAAGAAGCAGAAAUGGGAUAAACAGAGAGGUAACUCAUGAAAUGACCGUCUAGGUCGUUAUAUCCUCCCCCUCUUAAACAAACGUUUAUCCUCGAACGGGUUAAGAAACAUAACUAAAGUCUCAAAUAGGUAAUGAUGUCUACUCAGCAUGUCCUGCUUGGUCUCCCAGGUAGCCUCCUCCACAAGCUGACCUCUCCACUUCACAUUCAUUGAAGCUAUACCCUUUGACCUCAACAUCCGAACCUGAAGGUCCAAAAUAACUAGUGGCUCAACAUCAUAAGUCAAAUCAUCAUCUAACUGAACAGUGCUGAAAUCCAAAACAUAAGACGGAUCGCCAAUAUACUUCUGGAGAAUAGAAACAUGAAAUAUCGCAUGCACACUCGAUAAGUUGGGUGGCAAAGCAAGCUCGUAAGCCACUUCCCCAAUCCUCCGAAAAACCUCAAAAGGCCAAAUGAACCGAGGACUCAAUUUACCCUUCUUCCCAAAUGUCAUAACACCCUUCAUGGGUGAAACCUUCAAUAGAACCUUCUCACCAACCAUGUAGGACACAUCCUGAACCUUCCUGGCAUCAUAACUCUUUUAUCUCGAUUACGUUGUACGAAGCCUCUCCUGAAUCACCUUCACCUUGUCCAAAGCAUCCUACACCAAGUCUUUACCCAAUAGCCUAGCCUCACCCACCUUAAAACAACCGACAGGAGAUCUACAUUGUCUCCCAUACAAAGCUUCAUAUGGAGCUAUCUGAAUACUUGACUGAUAACUAUUUGUAUAAGCAAACUCUACAAGCGGUAGAAACUGACCCCAUGGCCCUCCAAAAUUAAUUACACAAGUGCGCAACAUGUCCUCCGAUAUCUAAAUAGUGCACUCAGACUUACCGUCCAUCUGAGGGUGAAAAGUUGUGCUCAACUCAACCUGAGUACCCAACUCUCCCUGUACAGACCUCCAAACUGUGGAGUAAAUUGAGUACCUCUAUUGAAAUGAUAGAUACUGGGACAUCAUGCAAUGAACAAUCCCCCGGAUAUAUAUCUCUGCCAAUAGCUCUAAAGAAUAGGUAGUACACACAGGAAUGAAGUGCGGGAACUUGGUUAGCCGAUCCACAUACACCCAAAUAGAAUCGAACUUCUUCAAUGUCCGUGGGAGUCCAACUACAAAAUCCAUAGUGAUCCGCUCCCACUUCCACUUCGGAUUAUCCAUCUACUGAACUAAGCAACCCGGUCUCUGAUUCUCAUAUUUUACAUGCUGACAAUUCAGGCACCAAGCUCGAAAUCCCACAAUGUCUUUCUUCAUUCUCCUUCACCAAUAAUGUUGUCUCACAUCCUGAUACAUCUUCACGGUACUUGGAUUAAUGGAAUACCCCGAGCUAUGGACCUCCUCCAAAAUUAACUCCUGAAGCCCAUCUUUAUUUGGCACACAUAUCUGGCCAUGCAUCCUCAAUAUCCCAGCAUCACCAAUGGUCACAUCUUUGGCAUUGUCGUGUUGGACUCUAUUCUUAUGGACAAGCAAAUAAGGAUCAUCAUAUUGGCACUCUCUGAUCCGAUCAAAUAAGGAAGAUCGGAAAAUCACACAAGCCAAUACCCGACCGGUAUCCGAAAUAUCUAACUUCAUGAACUGAUAUGUCAAGACGUGAACAUCAACUACAAGAGGCCUCUCCCCAACAGGAAUAUACACCAAACUCCACGUAAUAACCGCCAUCCUACUCAAGGAAUCGACCACCAUAUUAGCCUUCCCCAGAUGGCACAAAAUAGUGAUACCAUAGUCCUUUAGCAGCUCCAACCAUCUAUACUACCUCAAAUUGGUAUUCUUCGUCUUGAACAAGUGUUGGAGGAUACGAUGAUCAGUACACACCUCAUAAGACACAUCAUAAAGAUAAUGCCUCCAAAUCUUCAACACGUGAACAAUGGAAGCCAACUUCAAAUCAUGAACAAGGUAGUUCUUCUCAUGGGGCUUCAAGUGACGAGAAGCAUAAGCACUAACUCUACCCUCCUACAUCAACACACACCUAAUACCAACUCUGAAAGCAUCACAAUACACUGUAUAUGAACUUGAAGCUGAUGGCAAAACUAACAUUGGAGUUGUGGUCAAGGAAGUCUUGAGCUUCUGAAAGCUCUCAUCACACUCAUCUAACCACAUGAAAGGAGCACCCUUUUGAGUCAACUUGGCCAAGGGUGAUGCGAUAGAUGAAAAUCCCUAAACGAACCGAUGUUAAUGACCCACCAAACCAAGAAAGCUACAAAUGUCUGUGGCGGAGGACGGUCUGGGCCAACUCUGAACCGCCUCUAUCUUCUUUGGAUCGAUCUGAAUAACCUCGCUAAACACCAUGUGCCAUGAGAAAGCCACUGAACUAAGCCAAAACUCACAUUUGGAGAACUUUGCAUAAAGUUUCUCCUCCUUCAAUCAUUGCAACACAACUCCCAAAUUAUCCACGUGCUCCUCCUGACUACGAGAGUAUACCAAAAUGCCAUAAAUGAAAACUAUGAAAAAUGAGUCGACAUAAGGCCAAAACACGUUGUUCAUCAAAUGCAUCAACACUGACGGGGCAUUGGUCAGCCCAGAAGACAUCAUCAGGAACUCAUAAUGACCAUAUCGGGUCCUGAAAGUUGUCUUAAGAAUAUCCAAGUCCCUGAUCUUUAGCCGGUGAUACCCUGAACAAAGAUCAAUCUUGGAGAACAUUAUCUCUCCCUCAAGCUGGUCAAACAAAUCAUUAAUACAAGGCAAAGGAUAUUUGUUCUUGAUUGUUACUUUAUUCGAGUGCUUGUAAUCAAAGCACAUCCUCAUCGUGCCAUCCUUCUUCUUCACAAAUAGAAUAGGCGCACCCCAACGCGACACGCUAGGCUUAAUAAACCCUUUAUCAAAGAGUUCCUAAAGUUGCUCCUUCAACUUCUUCGACUAUACCGGUGACAUACGGUACAGUGGAAGAGAAAUGGGUUGAGUGCCUAGCACAAGAUUAAUACAAAAAUUAAUAUCCCUGUCCGAUGUCAUGCCCGGCAAGUCUGCAUGAAACACAUCAGGAAAAUCCCUCACAAUAGGAACAGAAUCAAUAUUAGGAGUCUCUGCACUGACGACCCUCAAAAAGGGUAAGUAUGAAGUACAACCCUUCCCAAACAUAUGUUGGGCCUUCAAGAAUGAAAUUACCCUACAAGGAACAUAAACAGUCGAACCUCUUCAUUUAAUCUGUGGCACACCCAGCAUAGCCAAUGUCACCGUCUUAGCAUGACAGUCCAAAAUAGCAUGACACUGAGAUAGCCAAUCCAUGCACAAUAUCACAUCGAAGUCUACCAUACAAAGCAAUAGUAGGUCCACUCGAAUCUCCAUACCCCCAAUACUCAUCACACAUGACCGGUAUACAUGGUCUAUAAUAAUAGAAUCAUCCACCAGUGUAGAUACAUAAACAGAUAAAAUAAGAGACUCACGGGGCGUAUCCAAAUAAUGAGAAAAAUAUGAUAACACGUAUGAAAAAGUGGAAACGGGAACAAAUAACAUAGAGGCAUCUCUGUGGCAGACUGAGACAAUACCUGUGAUCACAACAUCUAAAGCAAUAGCUUCAGGUCUAGCUGGAAGUGCAUAAAAAUAGGCCUGACCACCACUUGAUCGACCUCCCCUUCUAGGGUAACCCCUACCUAACUAACCUCUACCCCUAGCUGGUUGGGUGGGUGGUGGUGAAGUAACUGGAACUGAAGCCGGUGGUUGAAUCCUAUCUGAGACAAACCCCUAAGACGAUGAGGACACUGCCUCUACAUGUGACCCAACUCUCCACACUCAUAAUAACUCCUUGGUGUUUAAGACGGGGACUGAAAAGAACCAAUAGCACAAGAAUGACUAGCAGAUGCACCUGGAACUGAAGAGGCAUGAACUGAUUGAGCACCUGACGAACUCUAUGUUGGAAGGGCACUAAGUAAUGAAUGGCCCUAAUGGGAACUAUGAGAACCAUGACCCAAUGAUGCCCCACGAUAACCUAGGUGAGCUGACUGAACAUGCCUGAAUGGAUGGUCUCUACUGUGCUGAAACUGACCCCUCGAAGGACCACCACAAUAGAUACCAGAUCCCCGAAGUUUCUUCUCCUCCCUCUAAUCUCGCUCCUGGCAAUAAACUAACUCAAUCUCGUGAGCAGUGUCAACAACCUCCUCAAAAGUAGCACCAGACACUCUAUCCCUGGUCAUGAGAAUCUGAAGCUGAUACAUGAGGCCAUCAACAAACCUCGUGAUCCUUUCUCUAACCGUAGGAACCAACCAAACAGUAUGACGAGCUAACUCUGAGAACCUCAUCUCACACUAUAUCAAAGUCAUAUUUCCCUUACGCAACUGCUCGAACUGCAUGUACAGCCCUGCUCUACAAGACUGUGGCACAUACUUCUCUAAAAAGAGAGCGAAGAACUGCUACCAAGUAAGGGGUGCUGCACCGGUAGGCAUACUCUUCUCAUAAGCCUUCCACCAAGUGAAGGCAGCUCCUGAAAAUUGAAAAGCAGUAAAUGCGACCUCGCUAGUCUCCAAAAUACCUACAGUACAAAGAAACCUCUUACACUUGUCCAAGAAACAUUAGGCAUCCUCGCCCUCGAUACUACUAAAUAUUGGAGGCGGAAGUAUACAAGCCUCUCCAACCUGCGUUGUUCGUCCUCUAGCAUAACUGGAGCUACAUAGUCCUGAUUACUUGUAACCAGCUAGGCUGGCGGUGCUCCCAAUGUCUGAAGUCCAUGCACGACCUGCUUAGUUGUGCAAGCGGUAGGAGUCUGAGUGCCUCCCCCAUCUUGAGAAGUAGUUGCAUCUAUAGUAACUGAGACCACCUGAGCUAGGCCAGUGUAUACUGAUAGAAUUUGGGCCAGGCCCUCCUAAAGACAUGGAAUCACAAUGGGCACAGCUGGUGCCUGAGAUGGUGCUACUGGAACAUCUAGAACUAGGACCUCAUAAUGAACUGGGGCAGCUAGUGGAUCUUCAUGUGCUGCCCUAGCUGUUGUGUAGGCUACAUCCCUGCCCCUACCACAGCCUAGGCCAUGUCCUCGACCUCUAGUGGCCCCAGCUGGUGGUAAUGGUGCUCGUCCAUCUUGACCGAUAGCACGUGUCUUCACCAUUUGUGAGAGAAUAGAAUAACAGAAGUUUAGUACUCGGAUCAAUUGAUUAGCACGACGAGAAUUCAAGAAUAAGAAGUUUUCCUAAAAGUUUUGCAGCCUCCCAAGGAUAAAUAUAGACUUCCAUGUACUGAAACGCAAGACUCUACUAAAAUUGCUCAUAAUUCGUGAGACCUAUGUAACCUAUGCUUUGAUACAAACCUGUCACGACCCUAAAAUUGACCAGGUCAUGAUGGCGCCUAUCAUGAAACUAGGCCAACCACACAAACACCCAAAUCAGCUAAAAAGUUAUAAUAAUUCAUUUAAAGUCAUUAAUAAGCUAAAAAUCAAAAAAUAUAGAGUAGAAUAUAACAGUGCGGAAACAAACACAACCCGACAUUGGGGUGUCACCGGCCAUGAGCAUCUAUGACUCGUCUAGAAAUAACAAAAGAUAUCAUAGUCUGCUACAAAAGUAGUACAAAGUGAAAGCAAACGCCAAGAAGCUACCUAGUCAACUCCGAACAAGCCUGCUGGAAGGCAAAUCAGCACUAGCUAGCAUGACCAGAGACUUCUGAAUUUGCACACAGGGUGCAGGGACUAAUGUGAGUAUGCCAACUAAGUAAGUAAUAAAAGUAAAGGCAGCUGAGCGAUAACAAAACACGUAAAACACAGCAUAAUGCUACAACAAAAUAGUAUAAAUCCAAAACAAUGCAGUAGUAUAGUAAAAGCUCGCAAAAACACCGUAGUUCAGUAAAAACCUCUUUAAAACAUCUUCCAUUAUUUCAAAAGAGCGAUUAAAAGAAUGAGAAAAAAGGAUAGAAACAUAAAUCAGUCCCUCAGGCAAAAUACCAAAAGAACAAGCCCGCCAAGCUACCUCUCAAUCACUCGUAUCAGCCCCUCGGGCAAUAAUAUGAAACAACAAUAGCCCCUCAGGCAAAAUGACAUCUCACACAUGGUACCUGCGUUCACUAGGGGUGUGCAGACUCCAGAGGAGCUUCUACAGCCCAAGUUCUAUAUAAACCCAUAUCGUGGCUUAAUCAGAUCAGGACCUAUGCCUUAUAAUCAUGAAUCAGUACAACACUGCUGCGACGCGCAGCAGGAUCCCAUUAUGUCCGCACAACACAGACUCUCGGCCUCACUCAGUCAAAAAUCUCUCAAGCCCAUCGGGCAAUAGUAAAACAUGAUGCUCAACCCAAUAUAUCAUUUAAAAUGUCAAAAUGGAGUAAAUAUGGAUGAACUAUAAAAAUAGUAGAAUACAACAUGACUGAGUACGAAUAUGAAGUCAAAACAGUAAGGAAUAGUAGUAAAAAUCCCCUAAGGGUCCAAAAUAGUUGGCACGAGGCCCAUAUAUUCCAUUCAGCUCAAAACAUGAUGAUACUUACCAAAAUACAAUGAUAGCAAAAAAAUUUUCAAUAAAUUACGGGGAUUAACAGCCAUACGGGACGGACUAAGUCACAUUCCCCAGUGGUGCACGACCCCACACUUUUCAUCUAGUGUGUGCGACACCUCAAAGUAGCACGACGAUGUGAAAUCAAGGUUGCAUACCCUCAAGCCAGCAUUUACAAUCAUUACUUACCUCUAUCCGGUCCAAACUCUAACCAUGUGAUGACUUUGCCCAUUAAAUCGGCCUCUGAAUAGUCGAAAUCUAUCCAAAUAUAGAUUUAUACCAUCAAAAUAUGCUAAGGGAAUAAAGCCAACUUGAAAAUAACCAAUUUCCAUCAAAGAUCCCGAAAUCGCUCAAACCCGACCACCGGGUCCACCUCUUGGAUUCCGACAAAAAUCACAAAACUAAAAUCCUUGCACUCUUACGAGUUCAUACAUAUCAAUGCAUCAAAAUCUGACCACAAAAAUCCCCGCAAAUUCUCAUAGCAAAAUCUCAAGUACCAAGCCCUAACUCCCAAAUUUUAGGCUUUAGAUUCCAUAUAUUUUAUGGUUAAUAGGUAGAAAUCAUAGUAGGAUCGAGUAUUAAGUCCAUAAAUCUUACCUCUAGGUGUUUCCCUUUCAUUCUCUCUUUAGUCCUUCUCAAAAAGCUCCAAAAUCGCUCAAUAAUGGUGAAACUUAGACCCAAAAUUGCGGAAGUGGUCUUCUAAUCAUUCUGUCUAGCACCUAAAAUCCCUCCUUCGCGAAUGCAGUCAACGCCUUACGUUUGUAAAGCACAAAAUUCCGUUGACCACUUAAUCAAUCUUUGCGAACGCAACACGCUGUAUGCAAACGCGAAUCUUCAUCUCCUCAACCAAUCUCGAGCGUGACAGCUAGCUCAAAAACGUGAAGCACAAUAAGACCUGAACCCAGCUGCUCAUCUUUACUCUACGCGAACGCGAAGCACAACUGGACCUGGACCCAGCUGCUCACCUGUACUCUACGAGAAUGCGGAAAAACCAUUGCGAACACGAUGAACACUGACCCAAACCCUUCACGAAUGUGGGACACCCAUCGCAAGCGCGAAGGCCAACCCUUCUGCCUCACAUCCUAACCUUUCACGAAUGCGAGAGCCCACUCGCGAAUGCUAAGGCCAAACAUCUACAACACCAACAGCAGAUUUUUCUGCAACCUUUCCAACUUGAACUUAAUCCAAUCAACCAGAUCUCUGUGGCUGACUGAGACAAUNNNNNNNNNNNNNNNNNNNNNNNNNNNNNNNNNNNNNNNNNNNNNNNNNNNNNNNNNNNNNNNNNNNNNNNNNNNNNNNNNNNNNNNNNNNNNNNNNNNNNNNNNNNNNNNNNNNNNNNNNNNNNNNNNNNNNNNNNNNNNNNNNNNNNNNNNNUAAGCACAACUGGACCUGGACCCAGCUGCUCACCUGUACUCUACGAGAAUGCGGAAAAACCAUUGCGAACACGAUGAACACUGACCCAAACCCUUCACGAAUGUGGGACACCCAUCGCAAGCGCGAAGGCCAACCCUUCUGCCUCACAUCCUAACCUUUCACGAAUGCGAGAGCCCACUCGCGAAUGCUAAGGCCAAACAUCUACAACACCAACAGCAGAUUUUUCUGCAACCUUUCCAACUUGAACUUAAUCCAAUCAACCAGCCAAAACUCACCCGAGGCCCUCGAGACCCCAAUCACACAUUCCAACAUAUCUCAUUACCUCAGUCAAGCUUGUUCCAAUCCUCGGAACGCUCAAAACAACAUCAAAAUACCAAGUUGACAUCGAAUUCAAGCCUAAGAAUUUCAAAACUUCCAAAUUUCGCUUUCGAUCAAAAAGUCUAUCAAACCUCGUCCGAAAGACCUGAAAUUUUGCACACACAUCAAAAAUGGCACAAAGGACAUAGGUCUAAACUUCUGGAAUACCAUUCCACCCCCUAUAUCAAAAUUUCGACUAUCAAUCGGAAAACGCAAAAAUUCCAAUUUCGUCAAUUAAAGCCUAAAUCUACUCCGAACAGCCAAAACACAUUUCGAUCAUGCUCCUAAGUCUCAAAUCACCUCUAUCCAAACCAUCAGAAUUCAUAUCCGAGCACUUUUUUACGUAAGUCAGCAUCUAGUUGAUUUUUCCAACCUUAGUUUACUCAAAAGGGACUAAUUGUCUCAUUCCUUCCAAAACCUCUCCGAACCCAAACAACCAACCCGAUAAUACAUAAUACUACUGAAAAAGACAGUAAGAAGUGGAAAUGGUAGAAAUGAAGCGGUAACUCAUGAAAUGAUCGUUGGGGUCGUUACAAGGGAUAAGAUCUCAAACCUCACUUGUAAGAUUACACUGGGUAAUAUUAUUGUGGAUAAACUAUAAUAGACGUUUUUAUUCAUUUUUCCCACAUAGAUCACCCUCUCAAUUCUAAUUUUCUCACUCGCUUUCUUUUUUAUGUUUCUAAUUAAAUCAAUUUACAUAAUGGACAGUCUUCCUCGUAUGUGUAGGCCUCGAAUAAGGAGUAAAGUGUGGAAUUAUUUUGAUCAGAAAAACACAUACAAUACAAUAUUAACUUUGUAGAAAAAAAUAUAACCACGAUUUCAAGACUAAUAGAGGGAACGUGUAUUCUUCUCAGACACUUGUUUGUGUCAUGACCCCAGUUUUCCCUCCGUGAACUAUUGUGACAGCACCUAGUCUCUACGACUAGGUAAGCCUAACAAUUGCAGAAAAAGGGAAAACAAUAUAUAAAACUGAUAAAACUGCCGAAUAAACAUGAUGAAGGUUUAAAAUGCCCUUCCGCAUAUACAAUAUAACUCUCAAACUGAACAACUUCCCAAAACUCAGAAUCGCAUGAAAUCACAAGUUGUUGAAUAACUACAAGUGUAUAACUCCAGAAUGUCUAAACAAAAUUAAAAAAAGGGCUAUAAGUACAAGAGAGAAUGGAGAGGGACUCCUCGGUCUACGAAUAUAGCAGAUAUACCUCGAAGUCUUUGAAGAAUCGCCUCGCCUCAAGGAUAGUAUGGCUAAGUUGAAGAACCUGGAUCUACACGCGGGAAAAACAUGUGCAGGAAAGGGCAUGAGUACACCACAGCGCUACACAGUAAGUUCUAAGCCUAACCUCGAUCGAGUAGUGACGAGGAAGGUCAGGGUCCUACCGGUCAUAUACAAUAAUAUAUAAGGAAAAGAAGCACUACUAAAAUAAUACAAGGCAAUAAGAGUAGCAAAACCUAUAACAGAGACAGUAUAAUUACAUAACGGAUACAACUCAACACAGAGAUAACAACCGGGGAUCUCCUAGGAUACCGUCAUGUAGUCCCCAAAUGUAAAUAUUCAGUGGAUCUCCUAAUGUCAUCUCAUAGUCCAACUCAUAGUGCGCGAAGAUCUACCUGAAUUCAGAUCUGUAGUCCCAAAUGUAAAUACCUAGUACUGGAGAAAUCUACGAUGUGCGGUAUAAAUUUGCAGGGAGAUCUACCGGAAUGCAAAUCCGUAGAGCCAAAGUAAACAUGCAGAGGGAUCUCCAGGGAUACUGUCCCGUAGUCCCAAAAUAAACACAUAACAGCAACACGAAAAAUAUUCAAUUAAAUCCAAAUUUUAUACAAAGGUAAGUAGUUAUUUGUAACCUAGCAUGCUGCAUACAAUUCAAAUAAAGUAGUUGUAGCAAGUAAGGAAAUGAAGUCAAUUAGACAUGCUUCCCUAAGCUAACAGUAAGCUUAAAUUGCAAGUAGUAUAUAUAGGGAAGAAAACACAGUUAUAGUUACUUAAUGAAAAUAGGAUUUUCAACAAUUAGCAUAUAUACGCACUCAUCACCUCAUGUAUAAGGCAUUUCAUAUAUCAAUAAUACCAAAUCUUAAGGGGAGUUUUCCCAUACAAGGUUAGGCAAGCCACUUACCUUGAACCGGCUCAAAAAUCAACCUGAAACCAUGCUCUUGCCAUGAGUACUUGACUCCAAAUAGCCCAAAUGUAUUCAACUCAAUUGCAUAAUGUAAAUAUAACAUCAAGUAACUAAUUCCACUAAUUAAUUUGAAGCUAACAUGCGAAAUUAAGAAAAUUUCCCAAAAAGUCUCCCUGCCCCAUGUAUCAAAAUCGGGUAAAAGUUGUAGAUUAUGAACCCUCAUUCACUCAUGAGUCUAACCAUACCAAAGUUAUCCAAAUCCAAUUUCAAAUCCCCAAUCCAAACUCAAAAAUUAGGCCUAAUAACUUUUCCAAAUUUUCCCAAUUUCUCACCCCAAAUCCGAAAUUAGAUGAUGAAUUUGUGUUUAGCUUAACGGUCAUAAGCAUAAAGGAGUUAAGAAUCAGUACCCGCAAACUCCCUCCGAAAAUCUCUCCAAAAUUUGUCUCCUACCGAGCUCCGUGUUCAAUUUUAUGAUAUGAACUAAAAACCCUAGAUUUUUAACUUUAUGUCCUGCCCAGACGCGACCUUAAUCGCUAUCAAGAAAACUCCCACGCGAUCGCAAAGAGCAACAUCACUGACCCCCAAAUUAACCCUACGCAAACGCAAUUCUUGCACUACUCAGCUCUAUAUUGUUGCAAAAGACCUCAUGUAAUCGCAAAGAGCAACUUCCACUACUCAGCGGCCUCACUUUUUUCUCUUCGCAAACACGGUGUAGCCCACGCGUUCUUGAUUCACUUCUACCAAAACUACGUGUUCGCACUCCCUUUCCCAUGAUCUCAUAUAACAAAAUCCUUUCUGCUUCAAAUAAGCCUUCGCAAUCGCAAACCUCCUCACGCGAUCGCGAUGAAGAAAAGUCUACAACAUAAAAUCAAAAAAAAUUGAUCCUUCUCCAGGUCCAAAAAUGGUUCGUAUAGCUCAGAAACACACCCAGUCCCGCGAGACCUCAACCGAACAUGCCAACCAAUCCUAAAACAUCAUUCAAACUUAUUCCAACCUUCAAAAUGCUCAAUACAAUAUCAAAACACCAAUUUAACCUCAGAUUCAAGCAUAAGAACUCCAAAAACUCUCAAAUUACUCUUUUGAUCAAAUAGUCUAUCAGACCUCGUCCGAAUAACCUAAAAUUUUGCAAGCACAUCACAUUCAACACGACACAGCUACUCAAACUUCUGGAAUUCCAUUUCGAUCUCGAUAUCAAGAUUUCACUAUCGAACCGGAAACUUAAAAAAUUUAACUUUCGUCAUUUCAAGCCUAAAUAAUCUACGGACCUACAAAAAAAAUUUGAACACGCUCCUAAGUCAAAAAUCACCAACGGAGCUAAUGGAACUGCCGGAAUUCCAUUUCGAGGCCAUAUUGACAUUGCUCCUACUAUAGUCCAAUUUCUAAGCUUAAGCUCUCAUUUAGGGACUAAGUGUCCCAAAACACUCCGAAACUUAAAACAAAUCAUCCCGGUAAACAAAAUAGCAGAAACAAAUACGUUGAAAGCAGUGAACGGGGGAUUCGGACGUUAAUUCAUAAAUGUACUGGCUGGGUCGUUACAAUUUGAUUGGUACCCAUAUGUAAUAGAUGAAGAAGAAGGCUACUAGAAGGUGAGAAAUUGAAUUGUUUUAGAAUAAAGAUACAAAGGAAGUAGCAGAAGAUCGUCAACAGAUAGAAUUUGAAGUUUUUCCUUAUUUUUUAUUUAGCUUAUUAAAUCAAAAAAUUAGUAUUUAUAAGCUUUGAAUGAAUUUUACUAUUAUGAAUUGAAGUUUGAUUUAAUUGUUCUAAUUUUUUUUUUGCAAGUUUAAGAAUAAAAAUAGAACUUGAAAAUUAUCUUAAAAUCUGCAUGUUCAAGGUAUUAAUUAAUAAAUUUUGAGGCUCUUAAGAAUUUGAAGCUCUUAUCCAAAUAUUGGUCUUACUGGUGUCACGACCGUGAUGGCGCCUAACAUGAAACUAGGCCAGCCGACAUAAACCCCAACACAAAUCAGAGAUUCAUAAUAAGUCAUUAUAAGCCAUUAAUUAGCUAAAAAUCCCAUAAUAUAUGUUAAAAUAAAAAAUACAUAAACAUAACACAAGCCCGACAUCGGGGUGUCACCAAUCAUGAGCAACUACCAACUAGUCUAGGAACAAGUAAGGACAAUAUAGUCUGAAAAUCAAUACUAAGACAGUGUGAAUAAGAUAGGAAGGAGAAGCAUUGGGCUGCAAACGUCAAGUAGCUACCUAGUCAACAUUGGAGACCUGUCGGAAGACUGAUCAAUACUCACUAUCGUGCCCCGAGACCCCUAGAUCUGCACACAAGGUGCAGGGAGUAAUGUGAGUAUGCCAACUCGGUAAGUAAUAAAAGUAAAUAAAGUUGAGCAGCAAGAAAAAAGAAAAUAUCACGUCAUGGCACUUCAGCAGAACAGUAUAUGUCCAAAACAAACAGUAGAGCAUUAAAACUCGUAAAAACAACUUAGUUUGGUAAAACCUCUUUAUAACAUCUUUCAAUACACUCAAACGAGUGAUGAAAAUAGUGGGUAAAAGUUAUGAAAACAGAAACAGCCCCUCAGACAAAACAUGUACCACAACGGCCCUCGAACAAAGUAUCAACAGAACCAGCCCAUCGGGCUACCUCGGAAUCACUCGUAAUCAACACCUCGGAAACAAUAUCCCCUCGGGAAUUAUCACUUCUUACACUAGGUACCCGUGCUCACUAGGGGUGUUCGGACUAUCGAACAGCUUUUAUAGCCCAAGCGCCAUCAUAAUUCAUCUCGUGGCAUAACAAAGCAGGUCGUUGGCCUCUCAUACAUAACAAUCAAUACACAUGCUGCGGUACGCAGCCCGAUCCCAUGAUAUCCUCACAAUACAGUCCCUUGAUGUCACUAAGUCAGAGAUCUCUUGUCACGCCCCAAACUAGGGGAGGACGACUGGCACUCAAUACUGUAUUUGAUCGAAUUAGCCACUAAAUUGUAAGGCCACGUGAAAACCUGUAUUCAAAACCUUGUAGCUCAUUGUGCUAAAUUACGGGUAUAUGGUAGGAAUAUGCAAAAAGCUUGCCACGGUUUGGAUCCUUUGUACUGAUCUAAGCAUAUAAAAAUAAAGAACUUAAGUUUCCCAAAAAAGUGUCACUAUGAGGUUCAAAAUGAAGUUGCAAAUCAAGUAUGCGGACCGCAUUUCUACCGCAAAUUGAGUCAGUGGCUUGGUUAAAAUUUAGGGUAAAAUGUGGUCCAUUAUGCGAUUGCAUAACUGAUAUGCGGAUCGCACAGUCACUGUAUAAUUUCCUAAGGAUUUUGUAAAGGGCAGUUUUGCAGUGCAUUAUGCGACUGCAGAAAAGAAUGCGAACUGCAUUCUGACCGCAAACUUAAACAGUACACCCAGUUUUUGGGAGUGUUUCUGCGGUCCAUUCUGCAAACCGCAUUCUCGCUUUGCGAUUGCAAAAUGCGACCGCAAACCUGACUCGAGCUCUUAUUGUAUAAAUUUUAAAAUUCGACCAUACCUCGUUAAAUAACACCGCCAUAGGCUAUUUCUGAUUAUUGUUCCAAUAUAUAGAGAGGGGAGAGAGUUCUAGAGUGACAAAGAGUGCCAUCCAUCAAGCCCCAUCAAAAUUCAUGACAAAUUUCUUGAAGAUUGCUAAUUGAAGCUUCUAGGUCUUCCUCGUAACUGUUCCCCCACCCCUAAUUUCAAGAAUUUUGUUAAAAACAAGUAAUUAGUAAGAGGGUACAUAGUGUGCAAGGAUAGAAAUCUUGCAUGCAUAGUUAACAAUGGGGUAUGGGAAGAUCAUGGCUUUAAAAUACAGUAAUUAGAGUAGAAAGUGAUAAAAUCUCUCACAAAAAGGAACAAAAAACCACAAUGUACACCUAGUGCUUGUCAAUAUUCUCAAAUGAGCUUGGAUCUUGAUCGUAUCUAUAAUUCAUUGCUAAAUUCAUGGUCUUCACAAAAUAAAUCGAAGUUGCUAGGAAAUUCCAGGAGUUUUUGUAAGGAAUUAAUGGAGACUCCAUUCAGGUAUGUAUGGCUAACCCUUUUGUUUUAGUGUGCAAUUCAUGUGUUCAAUAGUUGAAUUAAAAUUUCAAAUUUGAUUCUACUUGGUUGAUUUCAUUUAUGUGUUGAGUAACGGACUUCCAUUCUGCAUUGUUCUAUGUGUAUUCAUUUGAAAUCUGGGUAGUUAACAAGGUCAUCAUGUCUUUUGAGAAUUCGUUAUUUCCCUAAGCAUGUUCUUGACUUGUAUGAUAGAUCUGGAUAAAUAAAUGAAAGGAUUACAUGAACAAACUGACAAAAAGAGAAGGCAUGUGUUGUGUUGAUGAAUCUGUGUGCCAAGGAGCACAUCAAUGAAAAGAGGUGUAAUACCCAGUGUGGAAAAAGAUGGAUGGAAAUGGAAACCGAAGAGUAAUUAAAAGAGGUUAUGUCACAAGUUAGAUGGCUUAGCCAAUCAGGUCGAGAUCGGACGCCAUGUUAUACAUAUGGUGGCAUUUAUAUAGGGAGUAAGAACAUUAUUGUGAGUAUGGAUAUGUCUCACUUAGGAUGUCUUAGCCGGUAGGGUAGAGACCGGACUCCGUGAUAACAACCCCAUGGUGGUAUUAUAUUCUAAAGACAUGAUAUUUGGCACUAAUAAACAGUAACUUAAAAGGAAGAACAUAUUUAACCAACAAUCCUGCAAGACUUAUUUGGUGCUCCUACUUGAAUUUUCUGUGAUGUAACUGUUGAUGAUCUAAAUGUUCCUUCUUACCUUGUUUCACUGUUCAUUCUAUUAGAAUUGUGUUUUUCAUGCAUACUAGUACUAUUCAACAGUGCUAACGUCCCUUUUACCGGGGGUACUACGUCUUUGAAUGGAUGUAGGUGGUUCGGUUGCUGAUAGUGCCGAUCGCAGAUAGUGGUGCACCUUCCUCUUCA
rnacentral:lncRNA from 1 species